rnacentral:rRNA from 1 species
GAUUAACGCUGGCGGCGUGCCUAACACAUGCAAGUCGAGCGGCAGCGAGUUUUACACUGAAUUCUGGAAGCUUCUAGUUGAAAGAGAAGAUUUAUUCAAGAAUUUUGUGUAAAAUGUCGGCGAGCGGCGGACGGCUGAGUAACGCGUGGGAACGUACCCCAAAGUGAGGGAUAACGCAUCGAAAGGUGUGCUAAUACCGCAUAUGGUCUUCGGAUUAAAGCCUUCGGGCGCUUUGGGAACGGCCUGCGUAAGAUUAGAUAGUUGGUGGGGUAAUGGCCUACCAAGUCGACGAUCUUUAACUGGUUUGAGAGGAUGAUCAGUCAGACUGGAACUGAGACACGGUCCAGACUCCUACGGGAGGCAGCAGUGAGGAAUCUUCCACAAUGGGCGAAAGCCUGAUGGAGCAACGCCGCGUGCAGGAUGAAGGCCUUCGGGUUGUAAACUGCUUUUAUAAGUGAGGAUUAUGACAGUAACUUAUGAAUAAGGAGCGGCUAACUACGUG